AUACGGAGGGUGCAAGCGUUAAUCGGAAUUACUGGGCGUAAAGCGCGCGUAGGCGGUUUGAUCAGUCGGAUGUGAAAGCCCUGGGCUCAACCUGGGAACUGCAUUCGAUACUGUCAGACUAGAAUAUGGUAGAGGGUAGUGGAAUUCCUGGUGUAGCGGUGAAAUGCGUAGAUAUCAGGAGGAACAUCAGUGGCGAAGGCGGCUACCUGGACCAAUAUUGACGCUGAGGUGCGAAAGCGUGGGUAGCAAACGGGAUUAGAAACCCUAGUAGUCC
rnacentral:rRNA from 1 species